rnacentral:lncRNA from 1 species
ACAUGGCCAAGUCUAAGACCCAUGCCACACACAACCAGUCCCGAAAAUGGCACAGAAAUGGUAUGAAGAAACCCCGAUGACAAAGAUACAAAUCUCUUAAGGAGGUGGACCCCAAGUUCCCGAGGAACAUACGCUUUGCCAAGAGGCACAAGAAGGGCCUAAAGAAGAUGCAGGCCAACAAUGCCAAGGCCAUGAGCAUAGGUGCCAAGGCUAUCAAGGCCCUCGUAAAGCCCAAGGAGGUUAAGCCCAAGAUCUCAAAGGGUGUCAGCCGCAAGCUCGAUCGAUUGCCUACGUUGCCCACUCCAAGCUUGGGAAGCAUGGUCAUGCCUGCAUGGCCAAGAGGCUCAGGCUGUGCCGGCCAAAGGCCAAGGCCAAGCCCAAGGAUCAAACCAAGGCCGACGCUGCAGCUCCAGCUUCAGUUCCAGCUCAGGCUCCCAAAGGUGCCCAGGCCCCUACAAAG